rnacentral:piRNA from 1 species
UUACUGUCUUACACAGACCUCAAGGAUGUUC